rnacentral:misc_RNA from 1 species
UAAUCUCUCACUCCGACGACUUUGUUGUUGUCUGGAGGUGGACUUGGACUCUGCUGUGUCACAACGGCUGGUCUGAAAUGCAUGAGUGCACCCUGCUGUAGCAGCGUCUUCAGUGUGAUAAGUAUCUUCACUGAUUCAAGCUCCCCUUGUGGGACACGCUCGUCUGGUGGGCUCUGCGCUUCCAACCGUCUGCAUGGACAACUCUUGACA